UGGUGCCUUCGGGAACUGUGAGACAGGUGCUGCAUGGCUGUCGUCAGCUCGUGUUGUGAAAUGUUCGGCAGGCUUAAGUCCCAUGCAAGUCGAGCGGCAACGAGUUAUCUGACCCUUCGGGUGACGUUAACGGCGUCGAGCGGCGGACGGGUGAGUAAUGCCUGGGAAAUUGCCCUGAUGUGGGGGAUAACCAUUGGAAACGAUGGCUAAUACCGCAUAAUAGCUACGGCUCAAAGAGGGGGACCUUCGGGCCUCUCGCGUCAGGAUAUGCCCAGGUGGGAUUAGCUAGUUGGUGAGGUAAAGGCUCACCAAGGCGACGAUCCCUAGCUGGUCUGAGAGGAUGAUCAGCCACACUGGAACUGAGACACGGUCCAGACUCCUACGGGAGGCAGCAGUGGGGAAUAUUGCACAAUGGGCGCAAGCUCUGAUGCAGCCAUGCCGCGUGUAUGAAGAAGGCCUUCGGGUUGUAAAGUACUUUCAGCAGUGAGGAAGGUGGGUAUGUUAAUAGCAUAUUCAUUUGACGUUAGCUGCAGAAGAAGCACCGGCUAACUCCGUGCCAGCAGCCGCGGUAAUACGGAGGGUGCGAGCGUUAAUCGGAAUUACUGGGCGUAAAGCGCAUGCAGGUGGAUGAUUAAGUCAGAUGUGAAAGCCCGGGGCUCAACCUCGGAAUAGCAUUUGAAACUGGUCAUCUAGAGUACUGUAGAGGGGGGUAGAAUUUCAGGUGUAGCGGUGAAAUGCGUAGAGAUCUGAAGGAAUACCGGUGGCGAAGGCGGCCCCCUGGACAGAUACUGACACUCAGAUGCGAAAGCGUGGGGAGCAAACAGGAUUAGAUACCCUGGUAGUCCACGCCGUAAACGAUGUCUACUUGGAGGUUGUGGCCUUGAGCCGUGGCUUUCGGAGCUAACGCGUUAAGUAGACCGCCUGGGGAGUACGGUCGCAAGAUUAAAACUCAAAUGAAUUGACGGGGGCCCGCACAAGCGGUGGAGCAUGUGGUUUAAUUCGAUGCAACGCGAAGAACCUUACCUACUCUUGACAUCCUCAGAACAU
rnacentral:rRNA from 1 species